ACCCGCACAAGCGGUGGAUGAUGUGGUUUAAUCGAUGCAACGCGAAAACCUUACCUACCCUUGACAUGUCCGGAAUCCCGAAGAGAUUUGGGAGUGCUCGCAAGAGAACCGGAACACAGGUGCUGCAUGGCUGUCGUCAGCUCGUGUCGUGAGAUGUUGGGUUAAGUCCCGCAACGAGCGCAACCCUUGUCAUUAGUUGCCAUCAUUUGGUUGGGCACUCUAAUGAGACUGCCGGUGACAAACCGGAGGAAGGUGGGGAUGACGUCAAGUCCUCAUGGCCCUUAUGGGUAGGGCUUCACACGUCAUACAAUGGUCGGUACAGAGGGUUGCCAACCCGCGAGGGGGAGCUAAUCCCACAAAGCCGAUCGUAGUCCGGAUCGCAGUCUGCAACUCGACUGCGUGAAGUCGGAAUCGCUAGUAAUCGUGGAUCAGCAUGUCACGGUGAAUACGUUCCCGGGUCUU
rnacentral:rRNA from 1 species